UACGUAGGGUGCAAGCGUUAAUCGGAAUUACUGGGCGUAAAGCGUGCGCAGGCGGUUUUGUAAGUCUGAUGUGAAAUCCCCGGGCUCAACCUGGGAAUUGCAUUGGAGACUGCAAGGCUAGAAUCUGGCAGAGGGGGGGUAGAAUUCCACGUGUAGCAGUGAAAAUGCGUAGAGAUGUGGAGGAACACCGAUGGCGAAGGCAGCCCCCUGGGUCAAAACUGACGCUCAUGCACGAAAGCGUGGGGAGCAAACAGG
rnacentral:rRNA from 1 species